rnacentral:lncRNA from 12 species
AAGAACACUUAAAUUCAAGAUUAAAGAUUCUUGAAGAUUCUUUAGAAUUCAGAAUUAGAAUUUAGAAAUUCAAGAUUAAAGUCUAAAUAUUCUAGACAGAGAGAAAAAUACUCCAAAGGAACAAGAAUUAGGAUAUUAUCACAAGUUGGCAAGCUCUAGUUAAGGAUAACAGAAACAGACCCAAUGGAGAGAUAAAUCUAUGAUGAAUGAAAUAAUGUGGCAUCUGGAUAUAUUUAUCAAUUCUUUUUCUCUUAAGGACUGGUAAAAAUAUUUUAUCAGGAUUGACUAAAAUAAUUUUCUGUAUAUUGAUAUGAUCUUCCUUUCUUAUCUUCCUUUGUUUCACUUCUAAAGAUAUAUCUCAUCUUACUUUCAUGUCUCUCAAAUCACUUUUUAAUCCACAUAGCUCUGUGAUUCCUCAAAAACAACACUCAGUGUUAAUUCAAGAAAAUCAGACACUAUAAGGUGAUUCAGAUCAUAUACCUUUCUCUCUCUGGAGCCUUGACAUUGAACGGACAGUUUCAGAGAAUCAUGACAGAAAAGUAAACCAGAGCAGUCUUACCAUUCAAAGGUAAUCAUUGAUGAUGUCUAUAAAACACUGACAGACUUUGUGUGCUUUUUCUUUAUUUAAUAAUAAACAUAUUAAUAUAUUCAACUCUGCAAUCCAGGUAUUAACCUGACAUAUUACCAUGUACCUCUCUUCAUAUGAAUAAUUACAGAACAAUUCCAUAUGUUGAUCAAGAUUCUUUUGUUUGAAUGUGAUAUAACUACUCACCUGAAAGAUGCUAAGGGAAAGGAGAACUUAAUACUUCAACCAAAUCCUCAAAAAAAAAAAAAAAAAAAAAAAAAGUCAGUGUGGGUACCUGAUUCUCAGGAGUAUUACAAUUGGUUUAUACAGUCUAACCUGGGAUCCCUGGGUGGCGCAGCGGUUUGGCGCCUGCCUUUGGCCCAGGGCGCGAUCCUGGAGACCCGGGAUCGAAUCCCACGUCAGGCUUCCGGUGCAUGGAGCCUGCUUCUCCCUCUGCCUGUGUCUCUGCGCCUGUCUCUCUCUCUCUGUGACUAUCAUAAAUAAAUAAAAAUUAAAAAAAAUUAUAAAAAAAAAUUAUACAGUUUAACCUACUAAAUGUGUAUUUGCAUAUAUACAUAGAUACAUAUGUGUGUGUAUAUAUAUAUAUAAUGUAGAUAGAUUUAUAAAUAUAUACACAUACAUAUUUCACCUGUGUUAGAAUUAAACACACAUAAUGCUGUUUAACAAAUUCAUUGGUUAAUAUCUGAUUUUCUUAAUACAAUGACCAUCUAUGAACUUUUGACUGUCAAUUACACCAUGAAAUAUGGCUUUAUUAUUGAUACACAUCAUCAUCACAGGUAGCUAUUAUAUGAUUAUAAUGUCCUAAGUUAUAAUUCAUCUCUGAAUUCC